GGCACUUGCUAGUCCGAAAACCACACAAUUUUUCCCUCUACAACUUCUCAGAGGUAGGGAAAUACACAAAUGCAAGAACACUAGUUGUUAAUAAAUAUAGACAAAAAUUAAGUAACCAAUUCUUGGCCCAAGAGAUACACACUCUGCAGCAUGAGAAAGAGUAUGUUAAAACUCUGGAUAUGAGACUAAAGCAUGCUUCCAAUAAACACCUAAGCUUAUUUUAAAGUCAAAGUUUAAAAACCCAUUCCAGUCAAAUGUCCCACCAGCGCCCAUACAUACAUUUUACAAGUUUUGAGAGAUUUUUUAUAAGUGCACUUUAAUUUUCUGGCUGCAGUUAAUGACAUCUGGUAAAGCUUCCGUUGAUUAUAAUUUUUGUAGAAAAAAAUGUUUAAUCAGACAAUAAAUACCGUCCCUCCUGAGAAAGCAUACAGGGCCCAUUACUCUAUGGUCUCUAGGGCUAACUGGACCCCACAUGUUCAUUUGUAAGGACAGUCAAGCAGGGAACGAACGCACGUGCCCUGCCCCGCCUCAUAAGUAAAAACGGUAGGGGGAACCUGCCCUUCGGCGGUGUCCCAGAAUUGGGGACACCUGUGCGCAGGGCACGCCGUGUGAGAUGUGGGCAGCCUGCGGCCCCGGGGCUAACGAUCCCAGCCCGAUACCGACCAGGCCAGCCCCUUCCUCUGAUUUCCACCAGGGCCUGCCCCCGGAGCUCAUAUCCCCGCAAACGCAGGUCCUACCUGAGCUCUGCCCCCAGCUACAAGGCUGCGGGGGGAGUCGGGAGGAGGCGUGGCCUUCCAGCUCGCCAGACGAACUCCCUCGUGCGGUUGUUAUGACUUUCCCUCUCGGGAUCCGCGCCCCGACCAAGUUCGAGCCGCACUUCCGGGGUCCGCGGGCUACUGAAACGUCAUUGUGCACGCGACGGCGUCUGCGACAAUCCGGAAAUAGGCGGAGCGUGGUCGCUAAAUUGGUUCCUGUGGAGCUAGGUGGGCUGGGAGAGAGAGGCUUGUGGGAGAUACAGACUCUGAAGAUCCCAUCAGCACACAUGGAAGGAUCACUUCUGUGAAAUCAGAUGUGGCCAAUAUGUGCGUAAGAGCCCUCGCUAAGUCUGAGGGAAGAGGCCAGCCAGAUGUAUGACCAUUCUGACAGGAGGAGGCUCCUGAAGAUCAGGGAGUAAGGCCCAGUGGACAAGGGAGGAGGAAAACUUUACAGCCUCUGCCUGUUUUCUAGCCACCAGUCCAUUCUGUCACCAAGAAGCCAAAGCUCAAUUCCUUAGUUGCUGGAGCUUAGAAGUGCUUAGAAUACUUAGAAAUCUAAGUAGCCCCUAAAGAAUGAGAUAUCCAGGCUGACCUCGUGGCACAAUGGUAGUGCAUCUGACCUCAAGAAUGAGAUAUCCACCUCCCCUUAUUCUCUGGUAAAUUCCCUCCAUCAAUGAAGGAACAAAUACACAGUCUUUUUGUUCUCCUCCUCCCUGAAGAACCUUGUCUUUUUUGGUGAAUCCUACUUUCUCUGCUCAGAAAAAAUAGAUGUAAGGGUUAAGAAGUUAGGAUGUAUGUGGCAUGUUAGACAUAGUAUAAAGGUCCAGUUUUCUCACCCAUGCUUUCGCCUACCAGUUCUGGGCAAAACUGAAGUGUGUGAUUAUCCUUGAUGAUCUCACCUCCUCACUUCCAUUUAGUAUCUUCCUUCCUUUUUCUCUCAUGCCACCCCCGGGCUACACAGAACUACUUGUAAUAAAACAUUUCGGGGUUGAGGGGCGCCUGGGUGGCUCAGUGGGAUAAGCCUCUGCCUUCAGCUCAGGUCAUGAUCCCAGGGUCCUGAUCAAGCCCCGCAUCCGGCUCUCUGCUCAGCAGGGAGCCUGCUUCCACCUCUCUCUCUGUCUGCUGCUCUGCCUACUUGUGAUCUCUCUCUGUCAAAUGAGUAAAUAAAAUCUUACAAAAAAAAAAAAAAAUUCAGGGUUGAAAGGAACAUAAAAAGUCAUCUAUUACAACCACUAGAGAGAUUCUUCCCAAAUCCUUGUCAAACAAGGACAUCUGGCUUUCAAUGUAAAACUAUUUUGGCUAACUGAACAAAAGAAUCCAUGCCAGUAACCAAUGUGAAAGGACUGAAGGAGAUUCUUGGACUCUUCUCUUCUCCCAGGCAACCAACAUAUGUUUUAAUGAUGAUUCACUAAAGAUAGUAUUUGAUUCAAUACUUCAGGGAAACAGAGAAGAAAAGAGGAGAAGAUGAUAGAAUGGAAGGAUGGAGGAGUGCUGUCUUCUUUUUUUUUUUUUUGAGCAGGUAGGAAUACCUAUUUAUUCUGUGCAUAAGCCUUGAUCUCACUAUUUUGAUUAACCAAGAAAGCCUUCUAGAUGGUAGCAGGAGAGCCAUACAGAAAAAAGCAAGGAUUUAAGUCCCAAGAACAUUACUCUAUAAAUUGGAAACUAACCUGGAAAGUCACAAUGAAAUGUUCCAAGAGACCAUUUCUGACCGAUGAUUAGAAUGCCACUAUAUAUUUACUUUGUAAAGAGGUACUCUUGCAUAAUUAGCUCUCAACAAGUGUAAGAGCAUGCCUUGAUAUGGUAAGGCAUCAUUUUAUUUAUUUUUCUAGAUGAUGUUCACACAAAAAUAAGCUAUGCUUUAUUCAGCCAUAUACCAAGUACUUCUCUCUCUCUCUUUUUUAAAAGAUUUUAUUUAUUUAUUUGACAGACAAAGAUCACAAGUAGGCAGAGAGGCAGACAGAGACAGAAGGAAGCAGACUCCCUGCUGAGCAGAGAGCCCGAUGUGGGGCUCAAUUCCAGUACCCUGGGAUCAUGACCUGAGCCAAAGGCAGAAGCUUUAACUGACUGAGCCACCUCAGCGCCCCCUGCUAAUGGUCUUUACAGAAACUGAUUAAACUCGCAAAUGCAAUCUUUUUGUUACCUUUUCUCAUCAGUUUGGCACAUGUCCUGUUCCAUAAGCUCUUCUCAGGAGACAGGAGCCACAAGUGCAACUCUGUCAUGUCAGUCAUUUGACAAAUAUUUUCCAAGGGAAAUAAAUAUGUUAAACUCCACCUACAGUGUACAAAUAUGCUGACUCUAUCUAAGGGCUCAGAUCUAGAAGGUGGUAUGAAAAGAACAAGUGAAACUGUAUUUUCUUCUUUUGGAAGCACUAAAGAUGUCUUCUUUAAUUAUUACACUAAAGAUUCUCUAACUGACAACAUAUGCUUGCUAAUAAUUUUUGUCUUGCAGGAAUAUGAAUGUUUUCUAAUGGGAGGCAUUUAAAUGCCUUAGCUGAAGAUUGAUUCAAAGAAAAGCUCUCUUUUGGAUUCAUCUCAACAUCUAUCAGGUGGUAUUAUUUUUCCAAUAGUCUUUUACGCUAUCCUUUGCUUUUGAAAGAGCUUAUGUCCAACCUAUAAUUAUUUUCUGCUAAUUAGAGUAAUUCAUGGUUAAUUAUUCAAAAUGAUUCCUCUUCAAAAUCAAAUCCAUUUCUUGUCAUGACAUUAAAAAAAGAUACAAAUAAAAUAUUAUCAGAAUGCAAAUUUCCAUCAGAAGGGAAUACUUUUAAAAAAAUUUUCUUUAAAUAGCAUUAAAAUCUUUCUCUACUAGCAAAGGCUCUAUGAUUGCCUACUUCAGUUAAUGUAAGCUAGAGAAGGGCAACUGAACCAUGAAGUGAUGACUAUUAAUGUUUUUUUUUAUAAUUACUAAAUAUUAGCUAUACUGACUAUAUUGGAGUAAGUAAUUUACGAUAUCCUUAAAAAAGAGUUGCAAAGCAGUAAGACCUAAAAACGGUGAGGGCAAACAGUGACUAUGUGAGCUGGAGACACUGGAUGUCUAAGGACGUAACUCUGAAGAUAUACACCUCUUUGUGGACUCUCAUGGGGCUGAAUCUUCCUUUCCUGUUAUUGUCCUGGUCCUAUUUCCUCGAGAGGCAGCUGCUUCCCUCUGGUAUAUCUCCUAGGGAAGCCCUGGAGCUCCCUCUUUUUCUAGGCGAGGAUCAUGCUUUGCCCCUAUUUGGACCAUUGCUCCACUCUGAUCUCAAUCUUCAUUUUGUUCUAUUUUGAUUAUUGCAUGAAUCCCAACUGUCUUUCCUGAGAUGGUAAGGUUCUCCUCUACCUACAUUUUUCUUAGGCUAUACUUAUUUAGGUUUUCAACAUACAUUUAUUGAGUACCUUCAGUGUGCAAGGUCCUGAAGUUGUAUAAUUUUAAAUGAAGCAGGUUGAACAUGUCAACUAUGUAUGACAUAAACAGUUCUAUUAGAUUCAAACAAAGAGAAUAAAAUUAUAGAUGCAUAAAUAUAAGCAUAAGAAAAAAAAAGAUCUUUAGAAAUGGCAGCUACUUCUGGGAUUCAGAAGACAAGAAAAUAAAAUUAUCUGAGAAAUGCUGAAAUCAUUGCUAAAGGAAAGCAAACUCCUUGCACUUUGAUGAGUACUGAACACCACCUUGUUCUCAAUAUUCACUAAAACUCUUCAGCUGAUUUGCCUCCACCAUCCACCAAGGGGAAUUCAGCUCAACUUUUAUAAUAAAAAUUAACUGCAUUAAAUUUUUCUUGAGCAUCUAGAUUUUCAUAACGGCCAUGACAAAAACUAGGAAAACAACACAAUUAGACGGUAAGUGACCUUAUACGGUCUGUGACAAGGACAUUCACGCUUGCUAAAUAGUCCAUGAGUCCCUUUUGAGUUUCAUUGGAGCCAUGUGACUUGUUCUGGCCUCUGGAUUAUGAGCAGAUUUACCAGGUGUCAAAGCAUACCAAUGGGAGGAGAGCCUCUAGUGGGCUCUUUCAUCACCAUGACAACAAAAGUAGCUAGGUAUUGAGAUGGCGGAUUCAGAGAUGUAAGUGGCCUCCAUUGCUCAGUCAACACAUGGAGGGUGAUGCUCGUGGCUCCCAGUUACAUUGCUGCCUUCAACACACAAAAGUCAUGACAUUAAUCUGUGCUGUAAGUGGCAUGGGGGGGGAGGUCUCAAGGUACAUCUUUGCAAUGAAUGAAAAUGUUCCAUAUAGGCACAUUUCUCAUCUAAAUGCCAGAGUAAGUUUAUACAGGCAGCAUAGUGCUGUGUUCUCCAACGCCUAUGACCAUAAAUGCAAAACCCCCUUGUUGUGUUUGCAGAAGUAAUUUCCUAUCUCCCAUAUUUGGAAGUCAGUAUGAAAGACGGCAUGCUGUUUAUUGGGAGGGCCUUUUCUUUCUUUCUUUCUUUCUUUUUUAAUAAAGAUUUUAUUUAUUGAAGAGAGAGAGCAUGAGAGUGGAGAAGGUCAGAGGGAAAAGCAGACUCCCUGUGGAGCUGGGAGCCCAAUGCGGCACUUGAUCCCAGGACUCUGGAACCACAACGCAAACCAGAGGCAGUCGCCCAACCAACUGAGACACCCAGGCACCCCUGGAGGGCCUUUUCUUUUAAAAGCAAAUCAAACAAUUAAAAAAAAAGACAUUCAUAUUAAUUUACUUUCUAUAGUCCAUUGAACUACACUGGAAAGCAGAAUGAAGGUAAUAAUGGACUUUUUAAAAUCUAUAUGGAGGGGUGCCUGGGUGGCUCAGUGGGUUAAAGCCUCUGCCCUUGGCUCAGGUCAUGAUCCCAGGGUCCUGGGAUCAAGUCCCGCAUUGGGCUCUCUGCUCAGNNNNNNNNNNNNNNNNNNNNNNNNNNNNNNNNNNNNNNNNNN
ensembl:lincRNA